GACGAACGCUGGCGGCGUGCCUAAUACAUGCAAGUAGAACGCUGAAGAGAGGAGCUUGCUCUUCUUGGAUGAGUUGCGAACGGGUGAGUAACGCGUAGGUAACCUGCCUGGUAGCGGGGGAUAACUAUUGGAAACGAUAGCUAAUACCGCAUGAUAUUAAUUAUUGCAUGAUAAUUGAUUGAAAGAUGCAAUUGCAUCACUACCAGAUGGACCUGCGUUGUAUUAGCUAGUUGGUGAGGUAACGGCUCACCAAGGCGACGAUACAUAGCCGACCUGAGAGGGUGAUCGGCCACACUGGGACUGAGACACGGCCCAGACUCCUACGGGAGGCAGCAGUAGGGAAUCUUCGGCAAUGGGGGGAACCCUGACCGAGCAACGCCGCGUGAGUGAAGAAGGUUUUCGGAUCGUAAAGCUCUGUUGUAAGAGAAGAACGGGUGUGAGAGUGGAAAGUUCACACUGUGACGGUACCUACCAGAAA
rnacentral:rRNA from 1 species